UCCCUCCUCUACGACACCGAAGUCUAUCUAUAUGACUGUAAAUGAAGAUAGACCCACUCCCCAACUGUAAACUCCCUUUCUGAUAUCUUUAAGUCUGCAUAUUUCUUCAUUCGUUCUUAGGCCUGAUGUAGAUUCAAUUUGAGGGUUUUCAUCAUUUGUUAUUUGUUUUGUAACUCUUCAUCUAUUGACUCGUUAUUUGAUGUACCCGGCAUGUAACACUUGAGGCGAGGUGGGUCAUACCUGUAGAGGGCCUCAAAUGGAGACAACUUCGUGGAGGAGUGCACAUUGGUCUUACCAUUCGGCCAAGGAAACCCACUUGGACCAGUUCCUUGGCUGAUCUCUAGCAAAGCAACGAAGUCACGCGGUCUUCAUCAUGAGUAAGGAAAAGGAAGCAGGAAGGAAAUGGAGGUGCAGGUGGACUCGAGAAGUAGAGAAAAGAGAAAUGAGAAAUGAAGGGUGACACGUGACAGGCACGCGGGGGCAGUAUCUCAGGCGGACAUCAAGGCUUUGAAUGCGUAAUUGUUUGGGCAAUUAUUCUUUGACAGUUUUCCACUGGGUCUAUCUCCUGAGUGGUCCAUCUCAUCACCCUGUUCUUUUUUUUUUUUUAUUUUUUUUUAUUUUAUUGCUGUAA